GUUGCUUUGGCCGAGUGGUUAAGGCGUGCCCCUGCUAAGUACAUGUGAUUUCCCUGCGAGAGUUUGAAUUUCUUAGGCAACG
rfam:Ipomoea nil DNA, scaffold: scaffold1525, cultivar: Tokyo-kokei standard.